rnacentral:tRNA from 1 species
GCGCGAUUAGCUCAGUUGGUAGAGCAGUCCAUUUACACUGGAAAGGUCGGGGGUUCAAGUCCCUCAUCGCGCACUA